rnacentral:rRNA from 1 species
GUGAGGAAUUUUCCGCAAUGGGCGAAAGCCUGACGGAGCAAUGCCGCGUGAAGGAUGAAGGCCUAUGGGUUGUAAACUUCUUUUCUCAGAAAAGAAUUAUGACGGUAUCAGAGGAAUAAGCAUCGGCUAACUCUGUGCCAGCAGCCGCGGUAAGACAGAGGAUGCAAGCGUUAUCCGGAAUGAUUGGGCGUAAAGCGUCUGUAGGUUGUUUAAAAAGUAUUCUGUCAAAGAUUAGGGCUUAACCCUAGAUAGGCAGAAUAAACUUUUAAGCUAGAGUUUGGUAGAGGCAGAGGGAAUUCCCGGUGGAGCGGUGAAAUGCGUAGAUAUCGGGAGGAACACCAAAGGCGAAGGCACUCUGCUGGGCCAAUACUAACACUGAGAGACGAAAGCGAGGGGAGCAAAUGGGAUUAGAUACCCCAGUAGUCCC